AACGAACGCUGGCGGCAGGCUUAACACAUGCAAGUCGAGCGCCCCGCAAGGGGAGCGGCAGACGGGUGAGUAACGCGUGGGAAUCUACCCAUCUCUACGGAAUAACGCAUGGAAACGUGUGCUAAUACCGUAUACGUCCUUCGGGAGAAAGAUUUAUCGGAGAUGGAUGAGCCCGAGUUGGAUUAGCUAGUUGGUGGGGUAAAGGCCUACCAAGGCGACGAUCCAUAGCUGGUCUGGGAGGAGGAUCAGCCACACUGGGACUGAGACACGGCCCAGACUCCUACGGGAGGCAGCAGUGGGGAAUAUUGGACAAUGGGCGCAAGCCUGAUCCAGCCAUGCCGCGUGAGUGAUGAAGGCCCUAGGGUUGUAAAGCUCUUUCACCGGUGAAGAUAAUGACGGUAACCGGAGAAGAAGCCCCGGCUAACUUCGUGCCAGCAGCCGCCGCUGUAA
rnacentral:rRNA from 1 species